rnacentral:lncRNA from 1 species
AAGUGGAAGUUAGUGUUGUUGGUUGCGCUCCGCCUAUGUCGAUUAAGAUCCAUUCAUUGUGGCCCUGCUGAUCGAGUUUGAACUGUACUAUACACAUGCUGGAAGUAAGAGGUAGUUGAAACUGGUAAAACCUAGUACCUUAUGGCGCGAUUGUAGAUUGAGUUGGUCCUGUUUCCUAUUCGUGUGCUAGUCAAUAACUCACAGCUGGCCCGGGGAGGUACCGAUGGGCAUUAGCACUUGAGGGUCGCAGGAGUUCGCAACUACCAUUGCUCUUUAAGGGAACCGUUUGCCAUAUGCGGCUCGACGGGGCAUGCAUAUGCCAUGUGUAUAGGUCCACCUUGCAAGUUUAUAAAUUGAAUCGAUUCACUGUCACUCUCGGUUAAGAGAACUUUGAUCACCGUAUCACAUCGUGGUAAGAAGUGGAAUGAAAGGAAAUGUGAAAUGAUGUUGAUGUUGUUAUCUAUAAUCAAUUGUUUUUCCACACUGAAAAGUUUUGAAAAUGUUACACACUUAGAAUGGUUAGCUUAACUUUAAUUUGGAUGCUAAAACUUGAAAGUAAGGAUCCAUGCUUAGUUGCUUUUUGGGAAAACAAAUCCCUCAGCCAAAGGCCUUUCAUACUAGGAGUCGGCUAAGUAUACCAUAGUCAGGUAAGUCUUGCUGAGUAUUAG